CGGGACACGUGGUAUCCUGUCUGAAUAUGGGGGGACCAUCCUCCAAGGCUAAAUACUCCUGACUGACCGAUAGUGAACCAGUACCGUGAGGGAAAGGCGAAAAGAACCCCGGCGAGGGGAGUGAAAAAGAACCUGAAACCGUGUACGUACAAGCAGUGGGAGCACAGGUUUACCUGUGUGACUGCGUACCUUUUGUAUAAUGGGUCAGCGACUUAUAUUCUGUAGCAAGGUUAACCGUAUAGGGGAGCCGCAGGGAAACCGAGUCUUAAUUGGGCGUUAAGUUGCAGGGUAUAGACCCGAAACCCGGUGAUCUAGCCAUGGGCAGGUUGAAGGUUGGGUAACACUAACUGGAGGACCGAACCGACUAAUGUUGAAAAAUUAGCGGAUGACCUGUGGCUGGGGGUGAAAGGCCAAUCAAACCGGGAGAUAGCUGGUUCUCCCCGAAAGCUAUUUAGGUAGCGCCUCGUGAAUUCAUCUCCGGGGGUAGAGCACUGUUUCGGCUAGGGGGCCAUCCCGGCUUACCAACCCGAUGCAAACUGCGAAUACCGGAGAAUGUUAUCACGGGAGACACACGGCGGGUGCUAACGUCCGUCGUGAAGAGGGAAACAACCCAGACCGCCAGCUAAGGUCCCAAAGUCAUGGUUAAGUGGGAAACGAUGUGGGAAGGCCCAGACAGCCAGGAUGUUGGCUUAGAAGCAGCCAUCAUUUAAAGAAAGCGUAAUAGCUCACUGGUCGAGUCGGCCUGCGCGGAAGAUGUAACGGGGCUAAACCAUGCACCGAAGCUGCGGCAGCGACGCUGAUGCGUUGUUGGGUAGGGGAGCGUUCUGUAAGCCUGCGAAGGUGGCCUGUGAGGGUUGCUGGAGGUAUCAGAAGUGCGAAUGCUGACAUAAGUAACGAUAAAGCGGGUGAAAAGCCCGCUCGCCGGAAGACCAAGGGUUCCUGUCCAACGUUAAUCGGGGCAGGGUGAGUCGACCCCUAAGGCGAGGCCGAAAGGCGUAGUCGAUGGGAAACGGGUUAAUAUUCCCGUACUUGGUGUUACUGCGAAGGGGGGACGGAGAAGGCUAUGUUGGCCGGGCGACGGUUGUCCCGGUUUAAGCGUGUAGGUGUGUGUUCCAGGUAAAUCCGGUUCACUUUAACACUGAGGCGUGACGACGAGGCACUACGGUGCUGAAGCAACAAAUGCCCUGCUUCCAGGAAAAGCCUCUAAGCAUCAGGUAACAUCAAAUCGUACCCCAAACCGACACAGGUGGUCAGGUAGAGAAUACCAAGGCGCUUGAGAGAACUCGGGUGAAGGAACUAGGCAAAAUGGUGCCGUAACUUCGGGAGAAGGCACGCUGACACGUAGGUGAAGUGAUUUACUCAUGGAGCUGAAGUCAGUCGAAGAUACCAGCUGGCUGCAACUGUUUAUUAAAAACACAGCACUGUGCAAACACGAAAGUGGACGUAUACGGUGUGACGCCUGCCCGGUGCCGGAAGGUUAAUUGAUGGGGUCAGCGCAAGCGAAGCUCCUGAUCGAAGCCCCGGUAAACGGCGGCCGUAACUAUAACGGUCCUAAGGUAGCGAAAUUCCUUGUCGGGUAAGUUCCGACCUGCACGAAUGGCGUAAUGAUGGCCAGGCUGUCUCCACCCGAGACUCAGUGAAAUUGAACUCGCUGUGAAGAUGCAGUGUACCCGCGGCAAGACGGAAAGACCCCGUGAACCUUUACUAUAGCUUGACACUGAACAUUGAGCCUUGAUGUGUAGGAUAGGUGGGAGGCUUUGAAGUGUGGACGCCAGUCUGCAUGGAGCCGACCUUGAAAUACCACCCUUUAAUGUUUGAUGUUCUAACGUGGACCCGUUACCCGGGUUGCGGACAGUGUCUGGUGGGUAGUUUGACUGGGGCGGUCUCCUCCUAAAGAGUAACGGAGGAGCACGAAGGUUGGCUAAUCCUGGUCGGACAUCAGGAGGUUAGUGCAAUGGCAUAAGCCAGCUUGACUGCGAGCGUGACGGCGCGAGCAGGUGCGAAAGCAGGUCAUAGUGAUCCGGUGGUUCUGAAUGGAAGGGCCAUCGCUCAACGGAUAAAAGGUACUCCGGGGAUAACAGGCUGAUACCGCCCAAGAGUUCAUAUCGACGGCGGUGUUUGGCACCUCGAUGUCGGCUCAUCACAUCCUGGGGCUGAAGUAGGUCCCAAGGGUAUGGCUGUUCGCCAUUUAAAGUGGUACGCGAGCUGGGUUUAGAACGUCGUGAGACAGUUCGGUCCCUAUCUGCCGUGGGCGCUGGAGAACUGAGGGGGGCUGCUCCUAGUACGAGAGGACCGGAGUGGACGCAUCACUGGUGUUCGGGUUGUCAUGCCAAUGGCACUGCCCGGUAG
rnacentral:rRNA from 1 species